UACGUAGGGUGCGAGCGUUAAUCGGAAUUACUGGGCGUAAAGCGUGCGCAGGCGGUUUGAGAAGUCCGAUGUGAAAGCCCCGGGCUUAACCUGGGAACGGCGUUGGAAACUCUCAAGCUUGAGUGUGGCAGAGGGGGGUGGAAUUCCACGUGUAGCAGUGAAAUGCGUAGAGAUGUGGAGGAACACCGAUGGCGAAGGCAGCCCCCUGGGCUAACACUGACGCUCAAGCACGAAAGCGUGGGGAGCAAACAGG
rnacentral:rRNA from 1 species